UACGGAGGGUGCAAGCGUUAUCCGGAUUCACUGGGUUUAAAGGGUGCGUAGGCGGGCAGGUAAGUCAGUGGUGAAAUCUCCGGGCUUAACCCGGAAACUGCCGUUGAUACUAUCUGUCUUGAAUAUCGUGGAGGUAAGCGGAAUAUGUCAUGUAGCGGUGAAAUGCUUAGAUAUGACAUAGAACACCCAUUGCGAAGGCAGCUUACUACGGGGUCAUUGACACUGAGGCACGAAAGCGUGGGGAUCAAACAGG
rnacentral:rRNA from 1 species